GAAGCCAAGUGGCGAAGAGGACAGAUCUUUGCAGGUGGCAGCCCAGGCCAUGGGACAGCAAUGUUCUGCUGCACUGAAAACUUUAAAGGGUCCUUCAGGCAAAAGUCAGAUCUCAUCCCUUUCAUUUCACACAUCCUCCCUGGCUCCUUCCAGGCCUACAGCCUGGGCUACAAAGCCAAUGUACCAGUGUCUAUGUGUUUGCUGGAGGAACUGUUACUGAGCAACGGUAUCCUGAGUGACACAACACAUCGCCAUGCCUUGCAGAGUGUCGGGCGCACCGCUUGCUGCAGCCAGGCCCUUCCUCCCACUGAGCUGUGUUGGCAUCAAACUCAGAUCAGCCUUGAACACUCAAAGAAAAACCUGCCUGCUCUGAAUAUUGCCUGAGGAAUUAGAAAGGUCUUUCUUGGAAACAGAAGAAUGAGAUGAAACGAUCAUCUGUAGAGCAUGGUCUUUGUCCCAGAAAAUACAGAGAGAAAGAAGAUCCUGGAGUUGAACUGGAGCUGAGCUGACCAUGGACUUCGUCCAAAGAGUAGAAUGUGCUUGGAAACCUUCCUAUCUCUGUGAUGGGCCUUAUUAGCCCUUGGAGGAGCUGGCAUGAGUUGGAUGGCUGUAACGCGUCCUGUUAUGCUAUACCAGAAAUCUCAGCUCGUGGAGAAGGACAUCUCAAAGCUGAGCUGGGAAUGAAUCCGCUGGAUGUCCAGUUUAUUUCAAGGAUUCCUGCUGGAGUCCCAUCUACAGACCAUUUCUAGAUUACAAUUGACUAUCUAAGACUGUUUCAGGAAUAUUUAAUGGGCCAACUCAAAUUAGCCAAUCUGAAGGAGUGAAUUUUGGCCUUGAGAGCUCUCUGAACACAUGCCAUUCUGCAGAGCAAAGGGAAGAGGCUGCCUGCUGUCAGAAUUUCAGUAGGUGUCAGUGUGGAUUUUAAGCUGGAUGCUCAGCCUGAGUAUUUAGGUUCUUUGUGAAUUUACUACAGUCCGCAGUUUUCAGCCCUUGGGUCAGUUUAACCUCCUCUUUUCACACUGAUCAAAGAUUGCUGGUGAUAGAUGGUCACUAACUUUGAUAACAGAGCCAGGAUUAAGAGGGUUCUUUUGCUGCUGUAGUUAUAAGUCUCCACAAAACCAUGACCUGAAUAUCCUGCCUGUGUAACACAGCCACAGAUCUGGCUGAGGCACAGGGUGAGGUACUUCACAUCCAUCCUGGUGUGACCUUCAGCAUCCUUAUCUGGCAGGAAUUGCUAAGCCUGCAUGGGAAGAUCAAAAGAGUUCCUAUCAUUCAGCCCAUCAACAUUUGGGCCUAACUCCAGUUGCUGUCAGGAGUACAUCAAAGGUGGUCUUCAUUUGAGUGGCAUUUAUCAAGUCCAGAGAGCACCAGGAAGACUAAUAUCCAUUACAGAGCAAUGCAGAUGUCCUCAAGAAAUUAGGACAGCAUCUUCAGAGAGGAAGACAUAUCCUGGCCAGGGCUCUCUAUAUUAAGUUUCUUACCUCUGCAGAAGAGUGUGGAUUAGGUUGGGGGACCAGCAAGGUCUGCAUGAACUUCUUAAUCUACACCUUACAGUUGUCCACCAUGAAAGUGUGUCUAGCCAGCAGCCUUGGGAUGUGCUUCCCUCUCCUUUCUGCUUGCCAGAGCUGUUGUGCGUUUGUUAACUGAUACCUUUUGCUCCAGAGAUGGUGGAUUUCAGGAUUGGUUUUGACACUGCAUCCCCUCUUUGAAGAAGCGCAUAAUUAGCUAUUUCAGUAUGGGAAAUGUUUGCAGUAUGUGAAGCCAGGAGCUGCGUUUGUUUGCUUGCUUAAAUGAAGAUGGAGUUAAGUGCAUGCUUAACUGAUUUCCUGGUGGAGGAUCCAAGUUAGAACUUUGUGAUGAUAAUUAGCAAAAAGAAAAGGAAAAGGUUAACCCAUAUUUGACAGCAGCCUAGAGAAGAAUGUGAGUGCCCCUCUUAGUAUUAAAAUAUUCCAGUGCAUUUCCCUGGUCAUGCUUUCAUUGGGAAACAGCACUUCACAGAGAGGCCUCAAUGCAUGUACCUGUAAAAUCUCUUGUGUGUUUGAUGUUGGCACUUCUCUGAAGAUGUAUUUUUCCAACACAAGCCUGAGUCAGUAGCAGACAGCUUAGAGGAAAGGCUGGGCUCCAGGAACAAAUACAGCUUUUGUCUCUUCUCUUUGAGGGCUUUGGAUCACGAAAAGAAAUGUAACCUGGCUGUUCGGUGUGUUUCUGUUCUGUGUUCAAAAGUCUGAUGUGGAGGAGACCAAGAGCUGGUAAUCGGUAUUGAGUUAAUUCCUGCCUUCAUCGUUGCUGCCUUGCAAACUUCAAAGCAGAAAAGCUACUCUCUUUACACCUACAAGCAUAAUUUCCAGAGCUGAAGCAGGGUAAUUUUCACAUGCAAAUUCAAGAGGCAAGCCUGCCUUAUCUGAGCAGGUGGACAUGCUGUUUAAUGGGACAGCAGCACCUCUCCUUUUCUUCCCAGAAGGGGAGCAAGGCAGCAGAAAUAAAAGGGUUUCUUUUGCUGUUGUUCUAGGGGAAAAUAAGUUUACCUUUACAAAAGGGGAAAAUGCCACCUUGUGCUUUGUUUUUAUGCUUUGAAUUGUGUUGAAUCCAGGAAAAAAAAAAAAAAGUAGAAUUCAGUUUACCAUCUAGAGCUUUAUAUUACAUUUUUCAUCAGCUGUUGGAAGCAUAAUGCAGAAAUGAAAGACUUUGGCAAAGGAACUGGUCAGCUUCACA